UGGCGGACGGGUGAGUAAUGUCUGGGAAACUGCCUGAUGGAGGGGGAUAACUACUGGAAACGGUAGCUAAUACCGCAUAACGUCGCAAGACCAAAGAGGGGGACCUUCGGGCCUCUUGCCAUCGGAUGUGCCCAGAUGGGAUUAGCUAGUAGGUGGGGUAACGGCUCACCUAGGCGACGAUCCCUAGCUGGUCUGAGAGGAUGACCAGCCACACUGGAACUGAGACACGGUCCAGUACUCCUACGGGAGGCAGCAUG
rnacentral:rRNA from 1 species